AUAGUACUCCCUCCGUCAUAAAAUUCUUGUCUUAAAUUUGUUUAGAUACAGAUGUAUCUAACACUAAAAUGUAACUAGAUACAUCUGUAUUUAGACAAUUCUAAGACAAGAAUUUUGGGACGGGGGAGUACAAA
rnacentral:pre_miRNA from 1 species